CCCAUUAUGCGUUCACAAAAACUUGAGACAGGUAAUAUAAUAGAGUUAAUUUUUUUUAACUUAUUAGAAAACAAAAAGAUAAAAGGAAACAAUCCAUCCUCUCCAAUUUUUCCUUCCUCUCUUUCCCCUUUCUGACAGAUUCCCUCUUCUUUCUCAGAUGAGAUCCCACAUCAAAAAUCUAUACAAAGACCUCACAAAGCCCCAUCGAUGAAGUGAUUCACCCAUCCCACAAUGCCCACUUCUUUACAAAAGAUGAAAGACACCACAUACAACAGACCAACUUCCUUCUUGAACAAAAAUACAAGUCGGACGAGACCCAUGAGAGCAAAAGGACCUAGAAGAAAAUCACAAAGUUGGGACACCAAAGCACUCCAAAUUGCUCACCUAGUCAAUAAAAGUAAACAGAGAACCAACCCUAAAAAAAAAACCAAGCAGGGCAUAGGAAACGCAAACAACGAAACGGUCGCCAACAACGAAACAAAGCCCCUACAAAACACAACGUCCAAGAGAGCCAACCAAGAUAAUAAAAAAGAAAAACCCAGCCAGCAGUAGACUGAGGUCAAAGUGUAACAAAGGCACAAUCAAAAGAGUGCACCAAACUCGAAGACCAACAGAGGAUCCAGCAAGGAUACCGACAGAAUCCCAUGUUCGCAACCAAACAAAAUAGGAGGGGAACUAAAGUAUUUUUAAAGGGGGUUAAAUAAUAAAAAAA
rnacentral:lncRNA from 1 species